rnacentral:rRNA from 1 species
AACGAACGCUGGCGGCAUGCCUAACACAUGCAAGUCGAACGAGACCUUCGGGUCUAGUGGCGCACGGGUGCGUAACGCGUGGGAACCUGCCCUUAGGUUCGGAAUAACUCUCCGAAAGGGGUGCUAAUACCGGAUAAUGUCUUCGGACCAAAGAUUUAUCGCCUUUGGAUGGGCCCGCGUUGGAUUAGCUAGUUGGUAGGGUAAAAGCCUACCAAGGCGACAAUCCAUAGCUGGUCUGAGAGGAUGAUCAGCCACACUGGGACUGAGACACGGCCCAGAAUCCUACGGGAGGCAGCAGUGGGGAAUAUAGGACAAUGGGCGAAGGCCUGAUCCAGCAAUGCCGCGUGAGUGAUGAAGGCCGUAGGGUUGUAAAGCGCUUUUACCCGGGAUGAUAAUGACAGUACCGGGAGAAUAAGCUCCGGCUAACUCCGUG